rnacentral:rRNA from 1 species
AGCUCCAAUAGCGUAUAUUAAAGUUGUUGCAGUUAAAAAGCUCGUAGUUGGACUUGUGCGUACCCCCGAUGUCCUUUUUGGUACGUUCGGGGGUGUGCAUCCUUGGGUGGAACCUGCGUGGCAUUAGGUUGUCGUGUAGGGGAUGCUCAUCGUUUACUGUGAAAAAAUUAGAGUGUUCAAAGCAGGCUUACGCCGUUGAAUAUAUUAGCAUGGAAUAAUAAGAUAGGACCUUGGUACUAUUUUGUUGGUUUGCGCACCGAGGUAAUGAUUAACAGGGACGGUUGGGGGUAUUCGUAUUCCAUUGUCAGAGGUGAAAUUCUUGGAUUUUUGGAAGACGAACUACUGCGAAAGCAUUUACCAAGGAUGUUUUCA